rnacentral:misc_RNA from 1 species
CCUGUUCGAGCGUCAUUUCAACCCUCAAAUUUAACUAUUUGAUGUUGGGCAGUGCCUGUAGAAGGCAUGCCUAAAGUCAGUGACGGUUGCAAAUCCAACCUAGGCGUACAAGUAUCGCGAUAAGGGACGAUUGGGGCCUGUCUUAAUUAAAAAUUCUAAAUGUUGACCUCGGAUCAGGUAGGGAUACCCGCUGAACUUAA